rnacentral:rRNA from 1 species
AUUGAACGCUGGCGGCAUGCCUUACACAUGCAAGUCGAACGGCAGCACGGGUGCUUGCACCUGGUGGCGAGUGGCGAACGGGUGAGUAAUACAUCGGAACAUGUCCUGUAGUGGGGGAUAGCCCGGCGAAAGCCGGAUUAAUACCGCAUACGAUCUACGGAUGAAAGCGGGGGACCUUCGUGCCUCGCGCUAUAGGGUUGGCCGAUGGCUGAUUAGCUAGUUGGUGGGGUAAAGGCCUACCAAGGCGACGAUCAGUAGCUGGUCUGAGAGGACGACCAGCCACACUGGAACUGAGACACGGCCCAGACUCCUACGGGAGGCAGCAGUGGGGAAUUUUGGACAAUGGGCGAAAGCCUGAUCCAGCAAUGCCGCGUGUGUGAAGAAGGCCUUCGGGUUGUAAAGCACUUUUGUCCGGAAAGAAAGCCUUGGACCUAAUACGGUCGGGGGAUGACGGUACCGGAAGAAUAAGCACCGGCUAACUACGUG